rnacentral:rRNA from 1 species
GACGAACGCUGGCGGCGUGCCUAAUACAUGCAAGUCGAACGCUGAAGGAGGAGCUUGCUUCUCUGGAUGAGUUGCGAACGGGUGAGUAACGCGUAGGUAACCUGCCUGGUAGCGGGGGAUAACUAUUGGAAACGAUAGCUAAUACCGCAUAAUAGUAGAUGUUGCAUGACAUUUGCCUAAAAGGUGCAAUUGCAUCACUACCAGAUGGACCUGCGUUGUAUUAGCUAGUUGGUGGGGUAACGGCUCACCAAGGCGACGAUACAUAGCCGACCUGAGAGGGUGAUCGGCCACACUGGGACUGAGACACGGCCCAGACUCCUACGGGAGGCAGCAGUAGGGAAUCUUCGGCAAUGGACGGAAGUCUGACCGAGCAACACCGCGUGAGUGAAGAAGGUUGUCGGAUCGUAAAGCUCUGUUGUAAGAGAAGAACGAGUGUGAGAGUGGAAAGUUCACACUGUGACGGUAGCUUACCAGAAAGGGACGGCUAACUACGUG